UAAGCUUCAGUUCAAUUAGUAAUUCAAGCUUAUUAUUUGCUUUUUAAUUUUUACAUUACCUCUAAUUUCACUUGAAUUAGCAUAGCUUGUUCUGUUCACUCGGAUGUACCUAGGACAUUUUUGUAAUUACGUCUAGUAAUUAACAUGUGACUCACGCAUGGCUCCCUCCUUUUGCUUUCAAUUUGGCUUUGUUCUCUGUACUCUCUCUUCUUCUUCAAAAUUAAAACGCAAAAUUUUAGCAAUUCUUCAAAAAAUCAUUCAAAUUGAAGAUUUAUUUUACAAUUAUUGAAGCUUUGAAGUACAUAAACUAAACAAAAAAAAAAAAAAAAUCAAAAGCUUGUGUUGCUUAUUAAUGGCGGUAUUGAAUCUAUUGCAAAUGAUCCUCUUCAAAAAUCAUUCAACAAUCUAAUCCAGAAGAUCAAAUGUAUGUAUAAUUGGACAACCUAUACAGAGAAGCUGUAGAAUCAGAGCUACUUGGUUUCAAUACAAUUGAAAAAGCAUUCAAAAUUGGUAAUUUCGAGUAUGUUGGUAUUGGUUUGCUUAUUUGUGAAAUGAGCAAAAUUGGUUUACUUAUUUGUGAAAUGAGCAAAAUUGGUUUUUGCUUAUUUGUGAAAUGAGCAAAAUUGAUUUGCUGAUUUGUGAAAUGAGCAACAUAGUUUUGCUCAUUUGACCAAAUUGAUCAAGGAAAUAAGGCAGCAUGUACCAUUGCGAGCACUUUGAUAGAUGCUCCAAAUGAGUCUUUUAGGAACCAAAUUGUUAUGGCUUACCUGAAAGCGUAAUGUUAAGGUGUUGAUGUCCCUUAGUGCACUAAUGUAAGUUUCAUGGCAUUAUAUUUAAUAAUGGGAUACCUAUGUAAUGGUUGCAGUGGGUUUUUCAUGCCUUGUGAAGGAGUAUAGAAGGUAUUCAAGGCGGGUAUUUGCCCCGAAGUGUGCUGCUGCUCGUACAAUUGCAAAACCUGCUGAUGUGCAAUCUGGCACAGUUAACAUCAUAGUAUGUGAGGGUUCCUACAUAGGGACUAUUACAAAUGGACCAGGGGCUGCUGCAACUAGCGCUAGUCCAAGUGCAGCAGUGUUGAACUUGUGCCUUUUGCUUGUUACUGUUGUUAGACCUGGUCUUCUGGGGUGCGUUAAACUACUUUGUAAUCUCAUUUGCUUGUAUAGAACAGAAACAAAAAUUUGAGAUCACUAAUCCAAGUAUAAAGUAUGUGAGAUGUUUAAUUUUUUUUUUUUUUUUUUGUUUUUUUUUUUUUGUUUAUUAUUAUCAAAGGAGCAUUAAUUCUUGUUUUAGGGUUGAGGUGGAAUCUAUUAGCCAUGUAUUGUUUGAUUGUGAUAAUGUUAUAUGCAUUUGGGAGCAUAGUGAUUUUUCAGAUUUGAUUCAGGUUGUGGCUGGUAUGGAUCAUGUGCCUAGACUACUAUGGUAUGCAAACAGGCUGAAGAGAGGUGAAUUUCGAAAACUAAUGACAAAUUGCUGGGCAGUGUGGUUCUGUAGAAACUACUUUGUUCAUGAACAAAUUAAUCUCAAUCCAGGGAUUACAUCCAAAGGUUUAGUGCAAUUGGUUGAUGACUAUCGUUUUUACUCAGAGCUCGUCAGAAGCACUACAACAAGUCCUGCUCGUUGUAUAUCUUCUGCAAGUUGGUUUGUAUCUCCUGAAGGGGUAAUAAAAAUAAACAUUGAUGCUCACAUUGCAAGAUCAAGCUAUAUGGGGUUAGGUGCUGUUGUUAGAAGCCAUGAGGGGAAGCUACUGCUCGCUGCAGUAAAAAGGGUGAAGGGGUCUUGACCUGCUGCUAAUGCGAGGUUGCUGUUGUUUGCUACGGGCUACAGUUGGUGAGAAGACUCGGCUACAACAAUGUAUGGGUGGAGUCAGAUGCUUUGGAGGUGGUUCAAGCCAUUAACAAGCAAGCUUGUGGAAUAUGCCCGUGUUUUUUUUAUCUAUGAGGAUAUUUAAAUGUUAGCUAAUUAUGUUAAUGUAAUUGCUUUUAUUCAUUUAAGGAGAACGGGCAAUACCACUGCUCAUCUUGUUUCAAGAUGGGACACAAACGGGUGUUCGGAGUUAGAGUGUAUGAACAACUUUCCCCAAAGUAUCCAAACUUUGGUGGACUUCGAUUUGGAAUAAUAUUGCCUUCUCACCUUUCCCUUUAAAAAAAAAA